GCAGUCUUCACAGCUCUGGCACUCAGGUUGCAGUGAGAUCCAGGGAGAGCCAGAAGUGAGGCGCCCAGAGAAGUGUUCACUUGUGGCUCGAAGUCCAGGUGUGAUACUGCAUGAAAACCCCCCGAUUUGGCCAUCCAGAGCAUGGUAAUCAAGAAACGCCUAGAUGUUUCCAAAAAUGGAUUGGGUGUCCCUCCAAGUGUUCAUGAAAAGGUUGAAUUUCCUCUUGGUGGGGAGUUACAGAGGAGAUUAGCAGAUCAGGCUGAAUUAGGGCCUCACUGUGUUACCCAGGCUGGAGUGCAGUGGUGCAAUCACAGCUCACUGCAGCCUCGACUUCGCAGGCUUAAGCACAUCUCCCACCUCAGUUUCCCAAGUAUCUGGGACCACAGGUGCGUACCACCAAGCCCAGCUAAUUUUUCUUAUUUUUUGUAGGGAUAGGAUCUCCUUAAGUUGCCCAAGCUGAUCUUGAAUGCCUGGGCUCAAGCAAUCCGCCUGCCUCGGAUUUUCAAAAUGCUGGGAUUACAGAUGUGAGCCACCAUGUCUAACCUGAAACACAGUUUUAAAUGAACACAAUUUGUUGUUGUUGUCUUCUCCACCAAAGAAAAUUAGUUCUUUAAAGACUCACCAAGUUAAAAAAUAAAUAAAUAAUACAAUUUAUCAACUUUAGUUUCUAAUUUCUUCAACUGAUCCCUCAUUCACAGCCAGGAAAAAUCACACUUUUUUCUUUUAUAU
rnacentral:lncRNA from 1 species